AGGGCAACCAAGCUGGUGAGGGGUCUGGAGCACAGACCUUAUGAAGAGCGGCUGAAGGAGCUGGGGUUGUUCAGUCUAGAGAAGAGGAGGCUCAGGGGAGACCUUAUUGCUCUCUAUCACUACCUGAAGGGAGGUUGUGUUGAGCUGGGGGUCAGCCUCUUCUCUCGUGUGACUAGUGAUAGGACUAGAGGGAAUGGCUUCAAGCUGUGCCAGGGAAGAUUCAGGCUGGAUGUUAGGAAAUACUACUUCUCUGAAAGGGUGGUCAGGCACUGGAAUGGGCUGCCCAGAGAGGUGGUGGAGUCACCGAGCCUGGUGGUGUUCAAGGAACAUUUGGAUGUUGUGUUGAGGGACAUGGUUUAGUGAGAAGUAUUGGUGAUGGGUGGAUGGUUGGACUGGGUGAUCCUGUAGGUCUUUUCCAACCUUAGUGAUUCUAUGAUUCUAUGAUUCUUUGAUCUCUUCUGGGAUUUAGAGAUUCAGAAGCAUAUUAUGUUUCCAGUUUUCUCUGCAAGACUAAGAAUUUUCCCAUUUGUAGGCAUCUCAUGUCUACAUGUGAUGUUGUCCCAGCAAGGAACACUGUACUUCAUUUCUCUAAAGACACACACUGCAUUUUUAAACACAAUCUCC
ensembl:lncRNA